rnacentral:tRNA from 1 species
GCAUAUUGUUGUAGUCUAGUUGGUUAUUAUACUCGGCUCUCACCCGAGAGACCCGGGUUCAAGUCCCGGCAACGGAAAUUC